rnacentral:rRNA from 1 species
GAUGAACGCUGGCGGCGUGCCUAAUACAUGCAAGUCGAACGCAUUGUGGUUGAAAUGAUAUGAAGAACUUGUUCAGAUUUGAUUUUCAACAUUGCAAUGAGUGGCGAACGGGUGAGUAACACGUGGGAAACCUACCUCUUAGCAGGGGAUAACAUUUGGAAACAAAUGCUAAUACCGUAUAAUAAUUAAAAACCGCAUGGUUUUAGUUUAAAAGAUGGUCUUGCUAUCACUAAGAGAUGGUCCCGCGGUGUAUUAGUUAGUUGGUGAGGUAAUGGCUCACCAAGACAAUGAUACAUAGCCGAGUUGAGAGACUGACCGGCACAAUGGGACU